CUACCUCUGACAGGACCUCAUCACUUACUCCAUUAGUCAAGCAACGGAGUUAUCGUCAAAUAGUUUUUAAAGCUGAUCGGAAUGAUUUAGAUGAUGAGGUGCACUAAGGACGUCAGGCAGGUUGGCUCCUCUGCAGCUUUAAAAUGUAAGUUAAGAUCAAUGUUGAGACCCAGAUGGGUUAUAAAAUGGAUAUCAGCCAUAUACAAAGUCAGGACACGACAUAACAAAAAUGCAGAGCGCAGUUUGUUGCUCCUGACGCCAAAAGUGGAACUUUUCUCUGUUUCUUCAGGGGGGGGGGGGACUGCCUCAAGCCGAUCUGUAAGCAAGCAGGAAGGAAGCCGGAUGCGUGAGGGACACACGUGAAUUGAUCUUGUCAGCGCGAGUAACCCCAUGACUCUCAGUGGACUCCACAUGGUUCCCCUCUUUUCCUCGUCUCGUCUCCUGAGUGGACGACUCACGAGUUGGCACACUGAUCCCUGAUGUUGUCCAGUCCACGGCUGGCAGGGUCCACAACUUGUUUUUGAAAUACGUCUCAUCAAGAAAGCCAGACAAUAUUGCGUUGUGGACAAAAUCCCCGACCAAGUAAUAGGGUCAAGUCGCAGAAAAUCUCAUUAGAAUCAUGUUGAGCAAGCGCCUCCUUCCUCUACGGGGAGAGUCCGACAUUUUUCAAUGCCGAAGCCGGAAUUUCUACUCACGUGCUCUUUAGACAUGAAGAUCACAGAAUAACAUUCUAUCAAUACUUUGUGGUCAUUAGCUUCUAUUUUAUAAAUGUAGCUGUGUUAGGAGGGGCCACAACAGGACGUCUCUUGUCCACACAGCGCCGAGCAAAAGAAAAGUGGAGACGCCCCCCCCCCCCAAAAUAUCCAACCGUCCAAAAAACAAAGGAGGCCUGUAGUGGAAUCGACGAUGUUUACAAAACAACUUGUUUCUGGAAUCCAUCGGAAACGUUGCCCGGAAGGGUAAAUGCCAAUUACAGACCCAGAAACGCGCUGGGCCUUUAAAUCAAGAGUCAACCUUUUGUGUGGUUGACUUCAGCCAGUCUGCCGUGGAAAAUAUGAUUUAAC
ensembl:lncRNA